rnacentral:rRNA from 1 species
AUUGAACGCUGGCGGCAUGCUUUACACAUGCAAGUCGAACGGGCUGAGGGGGCAACCCUUCAGUCAGUGGCGGACGGGUGAGUAAUGCAUCGGAACGUGUCCCGUAGUGGGGGAUAACCCGGCGAAAGCCGGACUAAUACCGCAUAUGCUCUACGGAGGAAAGCGGGGGACCUGAAAGGGCCUCGCGCUAUGGGAGCGGCCGAUGUCCGAUUAGCUUGUUGGUGGGGUAAUGGCCUACCAAGGCGACGAUCGGUAGCUGGUCUGAGAGGAUGAUCAGCCACACUGGGACUGAGACACGGCCCAGACUCCUACGGGAGGCAGCAGUGGGGAAUUUUGGACAAUGGGGCAACCCUGAUCCAGCCAUGCCG